rnacentral:rRNA from 1 species
AAGUCGGUUGUGAAAGCCUUCCGCUCAACGGAAGAACGGCAUCCGAUACUGCAUGGCUUGAGUGUGGGAGGGGAGAGUGGAACUUCUGGUGGAGCGGUGAAGUGCGUAGAUAUCAGAAGGAACACCGGCGGCGAAGGCGACUCUCUGGUCCAUAACUGACGCUGAGUGUGCGAAAGCUAGGGGAGCAAACGGGAUUAGAUACCCCGGUAGUCCUAGCCGUAAACGAU